rnacentral:tRNA from 1 species
CGAGAGAGGCUCGCAGCAACGAAAACUGCUAAUUUUCCCGUCCUUGGUUGAACCCCAGGGCUCACUCGGCC